rnacentral:rRNA from 1 species
CGGGACGGGUGAGUAAUGUCUAGGGAAACUGCCUGAUGGAGGGGGAUAACUACUGGAAACGGUAGCUAAUACCGCAUAACGUCGCAAGACCAAAGAGGGGGACCUUAGGGCCUCUUGCCAUCGGAUGUGCCCAGAUGGGAUUAGCUAGUAGGUGGGGUAACGGCUCACCUAGGCGACGAUCCCUAGCUGGUCUGAGAGGAUGACCAGCCACACUGGAACUGAGACACGGUCCAG